AACAGAGUAGAAAAUAAAGCGUUAAGUGCUGGGAGGAUGGGAUGUUGCCUCUUUGACGAAGGAUCAAAGGAUUAUUGAGAUUCGCGGUUUUAUUUUCGCAUUCGCUGCA
rnacentral:ncRNA from 1 species